rnacentral:piRNA from 1 species
UGCCAUGAUUGACUUGCAAGAUGUUCUAU